rnacentral:sRNA from 1 species
GUUUCAGUCAACAAUACAGCUCAUGUUUGACAAUAUUCCUUGAUGACAGCACAGCCAACCAGCCUUAUCUUACAAUGACAAUAAUAUCGCACGGAGAAGCCUUUUAGGAAAAUAGGGAUGGAUGUGAGACAUCUUUCUGUGAAGAAAAGCAUCCCAGAAGAUUCUGAUUUUCACCCCAGCUCAAUCAUUCCAAACUUUGCUACACAUUGAAAUCACCUGGGAAACUUUUACCAACAACCUUGAUGCCCAAAGCCAUACCCAAUACUAAUUAAAUUAAAAUGUCUCAUGUUGAAGAUGAGGCAGAUAUUAAAGCUUCUCAGGUGAUUUUAAUGUGCAGCAAAGUUUGAGAGCCAUUGCUUAAUUUGAGUUUAGGACGAGAAACUGCUCCUAUUUGGUGGGACCUUGGGCAAGUCAGUUUUAAGAGAUGCAGAUAGAUCUUUGAGCAUAUUUGAUGAACGGUUAUACUCAUUUACGUUCAUGCCGUGGAGGAAGUGGUGAAGGAGGUGGUGGGACAUGCCAAGGAGACUGGAGAGAAAGCCAUUGCUGAAGCCAUAAAGAAAGCCCAAGAGUCAGGGGACAAAAAGAUGAAGGAAAUCACUGAGACAGUGACCAACACAGUCACAAAUGCCAUCACCCAUGCAGCAGAGAGUCUGGACAAACUUGGACAGUGAGUGCACCUGCUACCACGGCCCUUCCCCAGUCUCAAUAAAAAGCCAUGACAUGUGUACA